rnacentral:rRNA from 1 species
AUGAACUGCGUCCCCACCUUCUCCCGCCACCACCGCCGCUGGAUCGUCUGUGCGGGCGCUGCUGCUGGUGCUUACCUGAUCUACCACCACCCAGCCGUCGCCGCCCGCCGCCGCCGCUUCUCCCGCCUGGCCUCGGCUCUCUCGUCCCUCGCCGAUGCCGUCGCCGCCGUCGCCUCCGACCUCGCGGCCUUUCUCCAAUCUGACUCCGACUCGCUGCCUACCACUCUCACUCAACUAUCCAAGCUCGCCUCCUCCCACGAGGCGACCGCCUCCGCCUCCGCGCUCUCCGGGGCCCUCACCGCCGGCGUGCUCCGCGGCUACGCCUCCGUCACCAGUCCAGCUUCCGCAGGCGAGGUAGCGUUUUCGGAUCGUCUUGUUGAGAAGCUGUUCUCCCCAGCCGGCGAGCGGCUCGUCUCAGCCGUGGCGGGCAGCUUCGGGCGCGACAUCGUGCUCGCCUGUUAUUCUGUCCCAGCCGAUCCUUCAGGAUCGGCGGGAUCAUCACCGGCGAGCUGGGUAGACAUUGUCACCAGUGGGAGUUGCCGUAGGGCGAUCCGCAGCUGGGUGGAGGUCUUCACGUCCACCGCCGUGGGCGUCUUCAUUGACAAGACCAUCCACAUCAACACCUACGAUCAGAUCUGCGCCGCUGCCACAAACCCGGCCUACGACUCCAAGCUGCAAAAGCUUCUGGUGGCACUCUGCAGUGCUUCCGUCGAGACGUUGGUGAAGACCUCCCACGGCGUACUCUCCAAUGGCAAUGGAAAUGCUCACAGUGGCAAUGGUGAGGUUGGGGAAGGAUGGACAGAAACGGUCUCGAGUGCGCUUGCUGUUCCAAGCAAUCGGAAGCUUGUUCUGGAUCUGACGGGCAGGGCGACAUUCGAGGCAGUGCGGUCUUUCCUUGAGUUUGUGCUGUGGAGGCUGCAUGAUGCUGCAAGGGCUGGCGGUGAUGCCACAGCGAGGGCUGGAUUGUGUGUCUUGAGGUAUAUGAGCGAAAGGUCCAUGGUUGUCGCUGCCAUCUGCAUAGUAUUGUGCUUGCAUGUGUUGAACCGCACAUGGCUCUUGGCACCGGCUUGA